UACGAAGGGUGCAAGCGUUACUCGGAAUUACUGGGCGUAAAGCGUGCGUAGGUGGUUGUUUAAGUCUGAUGUGAAAGCCCUGGGCUCAACCUGGGAAUGGCAUUGGAUACUGGGCAGCUAGAGUGCGGUAGAGGGUAGUGGAAUUCCCGGUGUAGCAGUGAAAUGCGUAGAGAUCGGGAGGAACAUCUGUGGCGAAGGCGACUGCCUGGACCAGCACUGACACUGAGGCACGAAAGCGUGGGGAGCAAACAGGAUUAGAUACCCUGGUAGUCCACGCCCUAAACGAUGCGAACUGGAUGUUGGGCUCAACUUGGAGCUCAGUAUCGAAGCUAACGCGUUAAGUUCGCCGCCUGGGGAGUACGGUCGCAAGACUGAAACUCAAAG
rnacentral:rRNA from 1 species